GGCCGCCCCCGGGGCCCGCCGCGCCUGGCCGGGUCCAGGUGUGGCGGCGGGAACCGAGCGACUGCCGGCCCCCGGACGCGGACCCGGACCCGGACCUGGACCCGGCGCUGACCCUGGCCGGGCUGGACCUGGGCGGGGGCGGGGAGACCCCCGCGGGGCCGGUCUAGACGCCCCUCCCCUCCCCCGCCCCCCGCCGGGGCCCCCCGAUAAACGCCGUCCUCGAACACGGAA